rnacentral:rRNA from 1 species
UCCUACGGGAGGCAGCAGUGGGGAAUAUUGGACAAUGGGGGCAACCCUGAUCCAGCAAUGCCGCGUGUGUGAAGAAGGCCUGCGGGUUGUAAAGCACUUUCAAUUGGGAAGAAAAGCAGUCGGUUAAUACCCGGCUGUCUUGACGUUACCUUUACAAGAAGCACCGGCUAACUCCGUGCCAGCAGCCGCGGUAAUACGGAGGGUGCGAGCGUUAAUCGGAAUUACUGGGCGUAAAGCGCGCGUAGGCGGUUGUGUAAGUCGGAUGUGAAAGCCCAGGGCUUAACCUUGGAAUUGCAUUCGAAACUGCACAGCUAGAGUAUGGGAGAGGGAAGCGGAAUUUCCGGUGUAGCGGUGAAAUGCGUAGAUAUCGGAAGGAACAUCAGUGGCGAAGGCGGCUUCCUGGACCAAUACUGACGCUGAGGUGCGAAAGCGUGGGUAGCGAACAGGAUUAGAUACCCUGGUAGUCCACGCCGUAAACGAUGACAACUAGAUGUUGGGAGGAUUUGCCUCUCGGUGUCGCAGUUAACGCGUUAAGUUGUCCGCCUGGGGAGUACGCCGGCAACGGUAAAACUCAAAUGAAUUGACGGA